GACGAACGCUGGCGGCGUGCCUAAUACAUGCAAGUUGAGCGCUGAAGGUUGGUACUUGUACCAACUGGAUGAGCAGCGAACGGGUGAGUAAUGCGUGGGGAAUCUGCCUUUGAGCGGGGGACAACAUUUGGAAACGAAUGCUAAUACCGCAUAAAAACUUUAAACACAAGUUUUAAGUUUGAAAGAUGCAAUUGCAUCACUCAAAGAUGAUCCCGCGUUGUAUUAGCUAGUUGGUGAGGUAAAGGCUCACCAAGGCGAUGAUACAUAGCCGACCUGAGAGGGUGAUCGGCCACAUUGGGACUGAGACACGGCCCAAACUCCUACGGGAGGCAGCAGUAGGGAAUCUUCGGCAAUGGACGAAAGUCUGACCGAGCAACGCCGCGUGAGUGAAGAAGGGUUUCGGAUCGUAAAACUCUGUUGGUAGAGAAGAACGUUGGUGAGAGUGGAAAGCUCAUCAAGUGACGGUAACUACCCAGAAAGGGACGGCUAACUACGUG
rnacentral:rRNA from 1 species